UUUAGCAUUAUUUUUUGGAAUUUUAAUAUUUUUUGUUUAGCAUUUUUUAGCAUUAUUUUAAUGCUGAUUUAGCUGCAACACUUCUUUAGAUCUGGUCACACUGAGGUGAAGUCAUCUGUGAUAAACCAGACGAACCUUUUGCCUAAAGUACCCACUUCGGAAGAGUGGUGGUUGGUCAAGCAACAGUGACCUUUCCUGCAAAGGAAUCAUUGCUCACACUCAUCACUUCGCCAGACAGGCAGGACUGGUUGGCGGAACUGGUGUACAAGUUCUGUCAAAUGGAGGAAAUAGCGGUGGUUGACGAUCUGAUAGAGAACGCGUGUGAGCUAAUUUCCGAUACCACUCAUAGCCGUACCCCAGACGGCCAUUAUAUGUUACAGUUACCCUUACAGCGAAAGGUAACGGAACUGGGUGACUCGUACACAAUGGAAUUACAGCAAUUUCAUAAACUAGAGUGUCGUAUGUUUGUGGGUCCAGUCCUUAGACAAAAUUACAUUUCAUUUAUGAGGGAGUAGACAGUACAACCACUUUACAAUCACACCAAUGGCAAAGCAAAGUUCCGCCUAGUGUUCAACUCUUCGUUACCAAUCAGCACUGGAAUCUCACUGCACGAUGUUCAACAGCUAUAUCUUCCAUCCUGGGGAGACUUCUGUUUUGGGUUUAAGAUGGGAUGCACUGUCAGAUAAGUCAUUCUUUUGCUCCGAGCUACGUCAAAGAGAAGAGAUACCCCGAAGCUCCGUGUACUCCGCGAUGUUGAUCCUAUUGGAUUGUUAUCACCUGUUAUCGUAACCGGGAAAGUAUUCAUUCAUUGACUAUUGUCUGCCGGUCUAUCUUGGGACUCACCAUUACCUGACGAUUUUUGCCGCGAAUGGCUGAAGUAUCGGUCACGGCUCCCAGAGCUUAAUCAAAGUCGUAUCGAGCGGUGGACGGACAUGAUUCCACGCGUUGAAGCAUCAUUUCACUGGUUUUGCGAUGCAAGCUCACCCGCGUAUCCAGCGGUGAUUUAUGCGAAGACGUUGCACAAAGACGGUUCUGUACGUUUCACUCUUAUGACGGCACGUACCAGAGUAGCACCACUCAAGGCUCCCACGCCUGGAACUUGCGGCAGCGCUACUUCUUGCCGAAACAUUCAAGAACGUGCGGAAAUAUUUGGGACUAGUUGCCGUUCCGUACUAUCUAUGGUCGGACUCAGCUAUCGUAUUGUGUUGGCUGAUCAAAUCGUGUUCGUAGAAUACAGGAGCUGACAUCCCCCAUGCGGUAGCAUCACAUUCGUUCUGCUCAUAACCCAUCUGCUUGUGCCAGUAAAAGCAUCACAUCUGGCGUGAUAUUAGUUCAUCCACUUUGGUGGCAUGGACUUAAGGAGGUAGAGAUAAUCUAUUUGGACAGCAGUGAUGUUCCUCUCAGCGAGGAUGAGUCAGAUAUCUUACUCAAUGAAACUCGAAAUACGAACAAAUUGAUUGCAGUCGUGUCACAUUCGUUAUAUACUCGUCGUCCAAAUGGGCAUGCCCAUUCUGUUAACUGAACGGUUCAGUAAUAUCGAUCGAUUGUUAGGCACGGCGGCCAUUAUUCUACGUUGGUUAAGAAACCGUCGACACCUUCGCCAACCGGUUAUCAGUGCUCAGGAACUGGACGACGAACUAUACACUAUAAUCCGUUUAGACCAGACGAAUUCCGACAAUUGAAGUCUAGUUCAGGUUUGGCAUCUUUUGGUCGAAUAAUUCCUUUAAAUCCAUUUAUAGACAAGAACCGAAACCUACGUGUUGGAGAACACAUUUAUAAGGCCGAACUAGGACAUGAUCAACGAUUCACUAUUAUUUUGCCAAAAUCAACUCUGCACGGAGGAGCGUAACUUAUGUUGCAUACUCUUCGUCGCCGCUUCCGGAUGCUGAGUUCCAGGCAAGCAGUCAAGGGUUUCUUCCUUAACUGUGUGGUGUAUCGGCGUCACAGAGGUGGAGUCCUGAAUCCUGGCUUUCUUACCCGGGCCGAGAAUUAGAGAGUUAAUUUCAUGUGGUGUCGAUUACUGUGGAACUUUUACACUACGAAUCGGAACGAAAUGCUCUCGAACGCCUAUCAAAACGUAUCUCGCAGUUUUCGUUUGUAUGGUCACCAAGGCUGAACACAUUGAGGUAGUAGAUGACUUAUCGUAACAAGCCUUUCUAGAUGCCUUCACUCGUUUCUUCAGCCGACAGCAUUUGUUGGUGGGAAGAUUGUAUGAAGGAAGAUCACGCAGCAUGGCAGGGUGAGAAUAAUCAGCGAUCGUUAGCAAAUUCGGGCACACAUUGGCAUUUCAUUACACCCAGCGCAAGAAUGCUUUUGGGAGUUUGCAGUGAAAUCCGUUAAGCGCCAUUUAGUACGCUGCGUAGGUGCGCAUGCCAUGUGGUAUAGUCAGCUGCAGACGCUGGCUAUAAGAAUAGAAGCCUGGCUUAACUACUCUCCUUUUACACCACUCUGCGACAAUGCUGAGGAGAAACUUGCGUUAACACCUGGUGAUUUCCUGAAUGGGUCUCCACUACUGCCGGUCCCCGAACCAGAUAUUAGACAUAUCCCUAGCAACUGACUGAAGCAAUAGCAAUGGAUUCUUCAAAUGCACCUGGUAUUUUGAGAGCGAUGGAGUGAGGAGUAUCUAACCAUUCUGCAGAGACGAAACAAAUGGCUUCGGCGCACGAAGAAUAUAAGGCUGUCUGGGUCGAGUGACAACAGUACAACCUGGAGCUGAUGGUGUGAUCCACAGUGUCACGUUGAGAACAGCUAGAGGAUACAUGAAACGAGCCGUUCAGAAACUUUUGCUAGAGAAGGAGGAUUUCGAGUCGACCGACUCGACCGGACAGGAUGUUUAGGAUUAUUUACGUCACCUUAGGUUUAACACGCUUUCGUGUUGUUUUUUUAAAUACUUUUUAUUCAUUUUGUUUGAUUUAUACUUUAUGGUUUUUCAACAAUCAAUAAAUUUGGUAAAUAUCGGCCAUGUACAA